AAUCUCUUUGAGGCUUCUACAGGAGAACGCCGUGCGUUUGAGCUUGAACCUGAUAAGCCUGGCAGAAGCCUGAUGAACCCAGAAUGAGUGAGAUGUGAGACAGAGUCUUGUUCUGUCGUGCAUGCUGGCGUACAGUGCCACAAUCACAGCUCACCGCAGCUUCCAACUUCUGGACUCACAUGAUCCUUCUGCCUCAGACUUCCAAGUACUUGGGACUACAGUCACGAAUCACCACAGCCAGCUUGGAGUGACUUUCUAAGGGAUAUUGAAGCCAUCCAUUGCUUUGUCUUCCAAGUUCAUCAGUGCCUGCACAACAUGGUAACAACAAAGUCAAAGACAUUCCAGACACUCUUCCGGAAAAAGGAAAAGCUAGGAUAGCCACAUAAGAAGGAUCUCCAGGAUGAAAAUAAACAAGAUAAACCAAGUUGCCACCUCCAAGCUCAGCUUCAAUAGCCACAGUUAGGUAUUUGUGGAUUCCAGCAAUUCUAUUUCAACCAUCAAUACGAUCAUAUUCAAAAAGAUGAGGAAGAUGACGAAGUUUGUGAAGAGAGGACACUCAAGGACCCAUCCGGCCCACAAAGAAAGAGGUGGCCUCUGAGUGCAGCGCACAUGAAGCCUGCUCAACAGCCUCUGGGCAUGUGAAAUCUGUCCUAUACGUUGAGGCUUUAUGGAGAAGCACACUAGCUGGUGUUGAUCUCCCAACAUAAGUUUCUUCUGGUGGGAAGGAUGAAGUAACUCCCUGAUAGUGUGCCACGGCACAGCUUGGCUCAAGCCUUGCAAAUGCUAGAUGAGAAAGUAUCGAUGAGACAUGAACGAAUGGCAUCAGCUAGGGGCAGCUGCAUCUGCCCUUCUUGGUGAUAAGUGGCCAUGUCUGCUCAGCCCAGGUUCUCUUCACCCACUCAGUCCUGACUUCACGCUUCCGCCUCCAGCUCUGGCGCCCCCUGAGCCCCGCUCACCCGACGCAGGGCUGGCUCAGGGCCGGCUCACAGCCUCACUGCGCCCCAUUCCCAGCCCCGGCCCCAGCCCAGGACUGGGCCCAGCCGUGCUCAGGUGAGCUGCCUCGCCCUACUCAGCCACCAUGUGUAGAUUUUAAGCUUUUAUUUAUUUAUUUAUUUUUUAACUGGAGGAAUCUGUCACACACCACCAAGAAAAUUGUGUUCUCCUCUGAAAAAAAAAGUCAUGCAAAAAAAUCAGAUUCAUAAUAGAAAAGGAAGUAUACCUCCAAAAUAGGCAAAAAUAUGUUUUAUGUUUUAAAAACAUGCAAAAUAAUUUCAUGAUGAAAUACCUUGAUUUGCAUGUGACUUAGAACUUAUUUCAUAUUAACCAGAUUCAGUUGCUGUGAUAAAUCUAUUAUGUGUUUUAGAAAAUCUAUUUUUAAAAAAUAUCUAUUUUUAAGCCAGAAGAAAAACCUGGCAUUUGUGUAUCCAUGUGUAAGCUAGCCUGCUUGGUAUCAUGCAGUCAAGGUACUAAAAGAUUAAUAAAAUUAAUUUUAAAAAUCUCCUGUUACAGACUAACAAAUAAUAUAUUUCCUCAAAUUUUCUGGGCUAUACUACUUUGUAUUAAUGCAAUCUGAAUUUUCAGAUACAAAUACCAGUCAAUGGUUGAACUUAAAAGCAAUAGGGUUGGGAGGACCUUUGCAAUAUUGGUCAUUAAAUCAUAAGUAAAAUUAUUCUGGACCAUAGUAAGUGGAAUGCCCUAACUUUUCUUAGUUCAAACUCUGCACAUUGAUUCUGAAGUUCAUAAUCAUGCCCUUUUAUGUGCUUUAAGCGGACAUCCUGACUUUGUGGUGUAUACUUUUUGUAAGAGAGCAGGUAACUCCAGCACAGAAGAAACCAUGUAAUGCAGAAGGGGGGAGGACUUCAGUGGCACUAUUCCAUUUUUAUUGAUCCAGACUGUUGCUUUCAGUCCUGCAUUGAGGCCUCCUUGGACGUCGGUUUCUAACGUAUCACUGACCAUCAUACAGUCCCCAGGUUGUACUUUGAGAAGAUUGCAGCAGUAAUAAAAUAUGGAUGGUGCUGGCUUCUCUCUCUGCUCUCCACCUCCAAUAGCGUGGAAAUACGACUGACAGGCACAAGGCUCAAUCUUCUCCCUCUGGAUCUGUCUGUCCCCAUUCCUUAAUAAAAAUAGGCAGACCUUCUUUCAAAGUUCGGUGAGCAUGACUUUGAUAUUUUCUGCUAGUGUCAUAAGCUGUAAACGUGUAGAUUUCCAAAGGAAGUGACAUUCUCCAGUCAAUUUUCUAUUGGCGGCACCAUCUUUUGUUUCCUGGACUGCUUCUUCCCAAUUGAAGUCCUUAGAUCAGUAAUGCAUGUACUGUAAGGAUGAAAACAUUCCUUCCUGAGUUUAACUUGAACUUUAUCACAGAUGAUUUCAGCCUUUUCUUAAAAUGAUAUUUUGAUUGUAAGAGCUUUAUCACCUCCAACAGGUCUCUCCUGCUCACCCUGGCCAUGUCGAUGAGCAUGCUGUCCAGGUCAAAGAAAGAGGCCAGCAUGUGGCUCAUCCCCAUAGCCCCCAUGGCUCCCGCCACCCUCGCACGUGUGAGGUGGGCGUCCCGGCAAUGUCUUACUUUUAAUAAUGUGUGAUUUUUUUCAUUGAUGGCUAUUACAUUUUUUAUCAUGUUUUAGGUUCUUCUAUGUACUGUAAUGAAUUCUCUUCAACAGUUAUCUAUUUUUUUCAGUUGAUUAGUCUUAAUUAUCAUAUCUUUACAUGCCUAUCUGGGAAAUAAUAAAAUGCUCUCUAGAAUUGUGCAACAUGGCAGCCUUGUUUAGAAGAAAUUGACAGUGUUGAAUUUCACCUAAGUUCUGUGCUCCUGGAAAAGAGCAAGAUGGAGAAAUCCCCCACCCUUUUGUGUUUCAGAAAGGCCUUGCUGCAAAGAAGCACCCUUUCCCAUAUAAUUUAGAUAAAACUCAUGUAUACUGCCUUGUUUACCUAUGACAAGGCCAGAAACAGACUCCAAAUUCCCACUCUUUGCCUCAUAAAUGAUUAACUAAGCUUGUUUGUACUAAUGAUCAAUGGGAACAAAAUGCUUGUUAAUCACACUUUGGUUAAGAUUCUAUCUAUCCGCCAGGUCUCUGAACCUUGGCCCAUCCUCAGUCUGAGUCAGCAUGUAACCCUUCUUCAACAGCAUCUCUGGAGAGAAGGCUGGCUUCUGGGUAAAACAUUCUUUAAUCCCAUUCUCUUAUCCCACCUGCCCACAUCCAAAUCUUUCUAAUCUAGUUUACUCCUCUCUAUAAAAGAAAAACUCUUUUCACCUAACUCUUGAGAAGCUUGCAGGUAUUAUGGUCAAAGAGUUCCUGUUAUUGCAAUAGCUCCCCUUCUCCUAUUGAAAGAGACCCUUUUCCUCUUAGAAUAAUCCUUCCAACAAAGUCUCCUUACUAAGUCUGAGUUUGCUUUUUGACAGGACCCACUCAUUACCUUUCAUUAAAUUUUUUUUUCUUUCCUAUUCUCAAAUAAGAAAAAAUUAUUUUGCCAUAUCUGGCCCUUACCUGAUUUAGGUUUUUAAAAAACUUUUUGGAGGUAUAACUUACAUACAUACAAAUGUAUGUAUAACUUGCAUAUAUUUAAGAGGUAAAAUUUGGUGAUAUUUGACAGAUGUAUAACCCCUGUGAAACUUGUAUUACACAAUGUAUGGCACAUUUCUGUCACCUCUGUUUUCUUGAGCCACUUUGCAUAUAACCUCCCUUCUGCCCUUGGCUCUUCGCAACCACUGAUCUGUUCUCUGUCAGUAUAUGCUAGUUUGCAUUUUCUAGAACUUUUUAUGUGUGGAAUUAUAUGGUGUGUCUGGCUUCUUUCACCAGCAUAACGAUUUCGAGAUUCAACAAUAUUGUUGCAGUUAUUAGUAGUUAAUUCCUCUUUUGUUAUCGGGUAUUAUUCCAUUUGUAUAGAUAUACCAUAUUCUUUAUCCACUGAUCUAUUGAUGAAUAUUUCUUAUUUUUCCCCCAGUUUUAAGGUUGCUAUAAGCUGAAUGUUUGUGUCUUCCCAAAAUUCAUAUGUUGAAAACUAAUAAUCCCUAAUGUGACGGUGUUUGGAGGUGGGGCCUUUGGGAGAUGAUAGGUCAUAUGGUUGUUGGGAGGUGGGGCCUUUGGAGAUGAUAGGUCAUAUGGUUGGAGGCCACAUGAAUAGGAUUGCUGUCCUUAUAAAAAAGGCCUCAGAGAGUUCCUCUGCCUCUUCUGCUGUAUGAAGAAACAAUGAGAAGAUGGCCAUCUGUCUAUGAACCAGGAAGUGGGACCUCACCAAAAACUGAAUCUGCCUGUGGCUUAAUCUUGGACUUGCCAUCCUCCAGAACUGUGAGGAAUAAAUUUCUGUUGUUUAUAAGCCAUGCAGUAUAUGGUAUUUUUGUUAUAGCAGCCCCCACUGAGAGGGAUAUUGCAAAUAAAAU
ensembl:lncRNA DMXL1-DT DMXL1 divergent transcript